UGGGGCCCGACAGCGGCUCUGCAUGCAGGGGCUGGGCCCGAGGCGGGGGCCACAGGGCUCUCCGGCGUGGUCAGCGCCAGCCUCUCGCUUCCCCAGGAAACGGCCCUUCUGCUAACUCUUCCAGGGAACGUUCAGCCAAGGGCAGGCUCCCUUGUCAAUCAGAUGAGGAGCCAAGUCAUUGGAGGAGAGAGAAGCCCGGCAGGGCAGAACCAGCCUGGCCGCCUCUGGCAGCAUCUGACUCAGGCCACCUUCGGAAUCAGACUUAGCGGUGACUUGGAGUUUGGGUUUCCCGCUGACCCGACAGAAAAAUGACGCCUCCGCAAUAAUUCUACAGGAACAAUGUGCGGGAAAGAAAGCGGUUUGGAGGACAGGGUCCAUAGCCACCUGCAGAAGCUAUGCUGAGCGGCCACGGGAAGGGUUUCCGGCUGCGGCGAGGAAUCUCGGACCCCCGUGCAGAGGAAAAGUGUGCGUUCAGCAGAACCCGGCAAGGCUGCUGUGGAAUGGUUUUAAAUGUCUUUUCCCUCAUAACUAGAUUAUUCAGUACAAUGUCAUUUGCUGCCACUGACAUUUUCUUUAAAGUCAUAAAGGCCUACAUAGUAAUAAAAGAGUCCAGAAUAAAAUUAGGAAUAUCAUGUAUAAAUUAUCUUUAACCUUA